CAGCAGCCGCGGGAAUACGUAGGGCGCAAGCGUUGUCCGGAAUUAUUGGGCGUAAAGAGCUCGUAGGCGGUCUGUCGCGUCUGGUGUGAAAUCCCGAGGCUCAACCUCGGGCUUGCAUCGGGUACGGGCAGACUAGAGUGCGGUAGGGGAGACUGGAAUUCCUGGUGUAGCGGUGGAAUGCGCAGAUAUCAGGAGGAACACCGAUGGCGAAGGCAGGUCUCUGGGCCGCAACUGACGCUGAGGAGCGAAAGCAUGGGGAGCGAACAGGAUUAGAUACCCCUGUAUCCCUGUCUCUUAUACA
rnacentral:rRNA from 1 species